UGCUGAUGUUCUCAUUUGAAAUGCAUUUUGCUGAUGAGCACACAAGCAUUAUGAUGUCAAGGUGUGAAAGAGAAUGAAAUAGCAGAGCUCCCAGGAAACCCAUCUAUACAUCUGGGGAGUCACACUGCUUCAUGUUGGAAGAGGAGCAAAACUGCAGAGACAGACUGCACAGACACCUGCACUUGCUUGGAGAGCAAGCAUAAAAAAUGCCACUUCAAGCUAUCAGUCUCCUGGAACUCCUUCAAAACCAAGACCCAAUAAGUUUCUGGUACAAAAACAGAUUAUCCUUUUCUACACCAAUUGUCCAGUUGAAUUCUCUACUUUCACAUUUAGCCUUAUCCCAAGCUCUAAGCUAGUUACAAGACCCAAUUGUUCCCAAAGAUAUUAUCUCUGCUUCAAUGUCAGCUCUACUGCCACUGUCAUUAGGCACAGUGCCUCCCUACUUAGUAAAUUUCUC